CCCUUAGAUGUUCUGGGCUGCACGCGCGUUACACUGAUGCGAUCAACAAGUUUUUCCUAUGUCGAUAGACACGGGUAAUCUUUUGAACUCGCAUCGUGAUGGGGAUAGAUUAUUGUAAUUAUUAAUCUUCAACGAGGAAUUCCUAGUAGGUGCAAAUCAUCAGUUUGCAUCGAUUACGUCCCUGCCCUUUGUACACACCGCCCGUCGCUGCUACCGAUUGGUUGAUCUGGUGAAUUAUUCGGACUGCCGGCUGAAGGGGUUUCCUCAUCUGCCAGCGGAAAGUCUUGUUAACCCUAUCAACUAGAGGAAGCAGAAGUCGUAACA
rnacentral:rRNA from 1 species